AAGAAGGAAAAAAAAUUAGAUUGUAAGAAAAAUAACGAAAAGAAAAAAAGGGUGGGUUGUCUCCCACUAAGCACUUUGUUUAAUGUCGCAAGUUCGAAAGUAGUGUCGCGUUGUACUAGGUUUGGUGUUGAGCGGGCAGCUCUAUGAGUCUGAGACUGUUCGAAUAGUCUCUGUUUUCUAUAUUAUGAUAAUGUUUUAGGCGCUGCCCGUUUACGACAAAAGGGUCACUAUUUCUACCUUUUAUUUCUAUCGCACCACUAUUGAGAACUUUGGUGAUCUCAAAAGG
rnacentral:lncRNA from 1 species